AGUGUGCAUGUAGAGAAUGAUGUUUUCGAUGCAUCUGAUUCUUAUUUUGUUGUCCAUAUGUUUAAUGGCACAAAUGAACUUUUCAUAUCAGCUUCAAGAUACAAUUCACACUCUGAGAGAGGAGAACGCGUACCUACAUCACAGACUGAAAAACCUCACGCAGACACUGCGAGAGCUGAGAAAACUUCUGGAUCACUCACAUGAGUCUGCUGUGAAUCAUGAUAGUGACACGUUGCAUGCCUGGAAUGAGUGGAUUAAGAAUGGUGUCAGCACAGAGACUCAUCUCAUGUUAGAACAAGCUUUCUGCCUGCCAGAUCUUCAUGCCAAUGCUAAUUUAUAUUUCCUAGAACAAAUUCUUCUGGUUGUGUCAGGUCUCCUUUGGACUGGGAUCCUUCUCAUGUAAAUAUGGUCAUAAUAUUCUAAUCUAACCUUUUAACCUUUCUGUUGAUUUUUCUAAUUAAAAUGUGUACAUAUUAACACUAAAUAUUAACAAUGAGGUUUCUUUUGUUAACAUUAGUUAGCUAGA